rnacentral:rRNA from 1 species
CAGCCGCCGCGGUAAUACGAAGGGGGCUAGCGUUGCUCGGAAUGACUGGGCGUAAAGGGCGCGUAGGCGGAUUGCUUAGUUAGGCGUGAAAUUCCUGGGCUUAACCUGGGGACUGCGCUUAAUACAGGCAGUCUAGAGUGAGGAAGAGGGUUGUGGAAUUCCCAGUGUAGAGGUGAAAUUCGUAGAUAUUGGGAAGAACACCGGUGGCGAAGGCGGCAACCUGGUCCUUGACUGACGCUGAGGCGCGAAAGCGUGGGGAGCAAACAGGAUUAGAGACCCCGGUAGUCCCUGUCUCUUAUAC